rnacentral:rRNA from 1 species
CUACGGGUCGCUGCAGUAAGGAAUAUUGGUCAAUGGACGAAAGUCUGAACCAGCCAUGCCGCGUGAAGGAUUAAGGUCCUCUGGAUUGUAAACUUCUUUUAUAUGGGACGAAAAAAGGUCUUUCUAGAUCACUUGACGGUACCAUAUGAAUAAGCACCGGCUAACUCCGUGCCAGCAGCCGCGGUAAUACGGAGGGUGCAAGCGUUAUCCGGAUUCACUGGGUUUAAAGGGUGCGUAGGCGGGCAGGUAAGUCAGUGGUGAAAUCCUGGAGCUCAACUCCAGAACUGCCAUUGAUACUAUCUGUCUUGAAUAUUGUGGAGGUAAGCGGAAUAUGUCAUGUAGCGGUGAAAUGCUUAGAUAUGACAUAGAACACCCAUUGCGAAGGCAGCUUACUACGCAUAUAUUGACGCUGAGGCACGAAAGCGUGGGGAUCAAACAGGAUUAGAUACCCUGGUAGUC